UCUCAUGGAACGUUUUAUAAGGAAGUUCAGAGCUCCUUUAUCACCUUCAUGACAGCCUCCUGCUGUGUGCCACUAUGUGUGCUAUGGAGCCUGCUGAAGGACAACAUCAAGCAACAGUGGUGAAGAUCUUGGGAAUUCCCCCACUGAUCCAGUUUCUGGACCUUUCUGUAGAAAGUAAGAUGACUCAUGUGCUGCUCCCAGCUCUGCAGAUGAGGUCUGAGUACCGCCUGUGACUGGGGAAAGACCAUGGAACCAGAUGGAGAAUACAGAAUUCACUUGAUCCUUUUCAGCAGGCUGUACCUCUCAAGUUCUCUAUUGGGAUAUCAGCAGUUCAGUUCUCACGAAUAUGCAGCAGUAGCUUCAUCCACUUACAAACACUAUACGCAAAUCAGCAAUGUCCGUCCAAUCCAGAAGAAACCGCACAGCUCUGUCAAAUCUUCCUGACUCUUCAGAAGCUGCAAGAAGCCACCGGAAUAUCACAAGACAUUCUUUGGUGCAUUUCCCUCAAUAAAUUCACGAUGAGCGAUGUUCAUCGAAGAAAGCUUGUAGUCAGCAAAGUCCAAAGAAGACCAGCAAAGAGUGGCAAGGUGAACCAAUGCCACAGCAUCAUCUACUGUCUGUUGGGUUGUAUUUAUUCCCUUUCCAAACAUCAUGUGUUCUCUCAAGUGUCUCCUCCAGCAAAACAGCACGUGCCCCCUUUCCAGGAAGCUUACAGAACACACCACAUAUCUGUGC